UACGGGGGGAGCAAGCGUUGUUCGGAUUUACUGGGCGUAAAGGGCGCGUAGGCGGCCACCGCAAGUCGGUUGUGAAAUCUCUGGGCUUAACCCAGAAAGGUCAACCGAUACUGCGGGGCUAGAGUGCAGAAGGGGCAACUGGAAUUCUCGGUGUAGCGGUGAAAUGCGUAGAUAUCGAGAGGAACACCUGCGGAGAAGGCGGGUUGCUGGGCUGACACUGACGCUGAUGCGCGAAAGCUAGGGGAGCGAACGGG
rnacentral:rRNA from 1 species